rnacentral:rRNA from 1 species
UACGUAGGGUGCAAGCGUUAAUCGGAAUUACUGGGCGUAAAGCGUGCGCAGGCGGUGAUGUAAGACAGAUGUGAAAUCCCCGGGCUUAACCUGGGAACUGCGUUUGAAACUGGAAGGCUAGAGUGUGGCAGAGGGGGGUGGAAUUCCACGUGUAGCAGUGAAAUGCGUAGAGAUGUGGAGGAACACCGAUGGCGAAGGCAGCCCCCUGGGCUAACACUGACGCUCAUGCACGAAAGCGUGGGGAGCAAACAGG